UUAAAAGUGCCCUAGAAUGU
rnacentral:siRNA from 1 species